AAUCACUUAAGCAUGAGUUUGACAGCGAACAUGUUAUUGCAGCAAUGUAAGAGUGCUUACAGCCAUAUUCUCAACUGGGAAGCUGCGAUCAAAACAGAUGGUUUCACCGUCUCUUUCUUAAAUGUAUCCUCUAAAAACAUAGUAAUUGUACUGUCCAAGUCUAUUUAUGUAUAUUUGGUGAUCUAUGUAAUAUAUUUUUUUACUUUAAUCAUUGGUAGCUCAUAGCUUUUUCUUCUGUCUGAAGCUUUGGCAGUUCCCGGAGUUUGUUGUCUUUGAGCUGAGAUGAUUUUUAUGAAAACCUCUCAGAGGUGGAACAGCUCUAAUUUGGUAUGGAACUAAGCAGUUAGGAAAGCUUCUGGAUAUCUGGGUAAUAGUAAAACAUCAAGCAAAUGAAUAUUUCUAUAAUUUGGAGGAGAAGUAGAUCCUCAAGGCACAAAGUUCUGUUCGUUGUUACCUGCUUUGUUCUUCUGUGAAGUUAUUUCAAGAAAGAAGGGAUUUGCAAAUGAAAUUUUAACUAGAAAAUUGUAACAUAUUUUCUUUUAAGACAGUAUAAGACUCUUGUAAGACAGUAUAAGACCUGUUAAUUCAAGGACAGAAAAGCCAUUCAUUUGUUUUAUCAGCAUUCGCUGUUCAUGAGAGCAAUCCAGUUAUCUUUAGUACUUGUCACGCUCUGCCUAUAAGGUUAUGAAUUAUAAUAGAAAAAUUCUGUAAUGCGAUGGUUUGUUGCAUAGCAAAUGAACAAUUCCUUGCAUGGAUUCCAAGUGUGGGUAGGCAAAAAAACAAAAGCAGCCCUGGAACUAGGGAGAUGCUUGGUCUAACUCUCGUCUGCGCGGGGAGUGAAAUGGACCCGGAUGUGGAGGAAACGUCGGCAAAGGAUCCUGCUGUUUGUCUGAAGUUAACUGAACCGUUAUGGCGCGCUCACAGAAGCGCUCUAAGGGAUUCACUGUCCUGCAAGUCACCAGGGAAUUCUCAGGAACUGAAACUGCAGACCUCACUGGAGCUAAAUGCCAGGAUCCACAAGGACAGAGCAAUAUUCAGCUCAGUCUCUGUGCUUUGCCUACUGGGAACAUCCAGUUUCAUGUCACGUGGCAGAGGCCAGCAAAGACCGCAGAGUGCACAAAUGAAUCAUGAAGGAUGAUUUCUGUGAAAGCUCGUGAAGCCCCAACCCAGCUAUAGGAAGAGAUUCAGUUAGAAAUGGAAAUACAUGUUAUGGUCCUGAUUCAGCCAGAAGCAGAAACACUUACUUCGCUGUUAAGCAUUGUGAACUUGUGUUUUGGUUUGUUUUGUUUUGCUUUGGUAUUCCAGCACAUUCUUGUAUUGUGCUUUGGAAGAACUUGCACGGGCUUGGGUGCCCGUUAAGCCCACGGCUCCUUCUCCGUCGCAGAACCUGUUGGACAUUAAGCUGUUACAAGUGCUCGGGCACAAAAAAGCUCCCUGUAUCUUUCCGCCUGUUUACAUUUUGAGAGCAGUGUGGCUGGGCUAAUUUUGUGUGUGACCAUGUUGAACUAAUUCCUGAACUUGCAAGAAAACUGUUAAUUAAAAAAAGCAAAUCAAUUAUACUGCCUAAUUGUGUGCAUUUCCAAAGAGUGUCAGUGCUUCAGGGGAGAAAUGUCUUUCAAGGGUGUAGCUACUCUGCAGCAGGGUACUUAAUUCUAGCAGGGGUUGCUCGGUUCAGAGCAAGCAGCUCUGUUGUCAGCUCUGCCAGACAAGAGAGGCAGAAAUGGGGAUCUUCUGCGAUGGGUGUUGUGGCAGUGGGCAAUGGUUGUUCCUGAGAAACUGGAAAAGCAGUGAAGAAAUACAGAUUCUCCCAGAGAAAUGCAGAAGACGUCACAUGCAAAAGAACCUGGAGAGUCUGGGUAAAAUGUGCUAAUAGUCCUGAUCGGGGUUGGAUUUGGUCUGCUUUACUGUGUGAGUAAUCCUGCUGUAGAGAAUUGCUGGCAAAAAAAUAAGAGCUAAUUGAAAAAAAAAAAAAAAAAAAAGGGGGGGGGGAAAGAAAACAAAAACAAACAAAGAAGAAGAUCAGAUGCUGACCAGAUGGACCUGUGGAUAAAGCCAGGCAGAAAUUCCAUCCUUUCUGUGGUAUAGCUAUAAAUGCCUGUCAUCUUGUGUGUACUUGCUCCUAUUGUGUUGGAACAUCCCAUCUAUAAAUUGCUACAGUUUCUCUGUUUUAGGUCAUAGGGUCAAUAGCAAGAUAAUUCCAAGAGAUUAAUUCAAGCCACGCGAUCCAAAUGGUGCCAACAACUGUGCUUUUCUCUACUUAAGCCAUGAGGUGCAAUGAGGAUAGCAUCUAAAAACUGCAGCUCCCAGAUGCCUGCAUGAAGUUGCAUAGCUCUGCGUUUGAAUGUGUUUGUGUGUCCACGUGGGCGACUGAUGACAGCCGGCAGGUAUCCCCUCGACUCUGAACUGCGCCGCACUGUGCGAGAACGAUGCUCACGUCCAUCGCGUGGCCUGCUGACAACCUGAAUCGAAUGUUCACUUCACUGAGCUUUGCUUCAUCCCAAGGUCAUGGGGCCUUGGCAAGGUUUAAGAAAUGGAAUAAUGAAAAAUCAAAGUCGGAUUAAAAAAUGAAUUUAGGCCUGGAAUCAUCACUGCACUUAAAUACACGACUGAUGUUCAGCAUGUUGAAGUUUUAUGGAUAUCAACAGGACUGCUGACAAACUGAGGAUCCCUGAGCGGGCACAGGUCCUAAACCCACAGAUAUUUGCACAGACUUGGGCUUCGUGUCUUCAUAUCAGUCUAACUUCACUAAUUUCCACUAAUUUCAUUCACAGCAUCUGUAAGGUAGAUUUAUAAAUGAUCAUCUAGACUAUCCCAUGAAGCAGUAUUGUUGUCUUGUAUGUAGUUGUAUUGUUUUCUUCUGGCUAGACUUAGAUAUUCCAAGAGGGAUGUCUUCCAUUUGCAUUUGGAAACUGCCUCUCUGGAAAUUGUUCACUUCAUUGUUUACUAUUUAUACCUUUGGAUACUUACGGAUUGCCAAACCAUUUUCAAAAACUUUAUUUUUUAUCUUUCUUCCAGAGAAGCCAUCACAAUUCAAUAAACAAAAUAACACCAACUCUUUUUUAUAUGGU
ensembl:lncRNA